rnacentral:tmRNA from 1 species
GGGGGCGACCGGUUUCGACGGGGAUCAGUGAAGCACAGGCUGCAUCCCGAGGUUUCUCUCCCCUCGUAAAUAAGAGAGAACGGUAUAGCUGCCAACACACAGCUAGCUCUGGCGGCCUAACACCCGCCGGCGUCCUCCAGGUUGCGCCAUCAGGGCCUGGGUCAGGGCGUCAUACUCUGAUGGCUGGCUCCAAGCCUUGUCUCGGGGUGAGGGGCGAGACCUCUAGAGGCUGGCCGCCCGGAAAUCCAGCCGGUUGGAGUGCCGGGUAGCGACAGCAGAAGAAAACCGGCUAUUGAUGUAGACGCCUGUCGCCGAGGGUUUCCGGACGCGGGUUCAAUUCCCGCCGCCUCCACCA